GACGAACCGUGCGAACGUUAUUCGGAAUCACUGGGCUUAAAGCGCGUGUAGGCGGCCCGGCACGUCCGUCGCUGAAAUCCCCCGGCUCAACCGGGGAAGGGGCGCGGAUACGACCGGGCUGGAGGGGGGUAGGGGGAUCGGGAACUUCCGGUGGAGCGGUGAAAUGCGUUGAGAUCGGAAGGAACGCCCGCGGCGAAAGCGCGGUCCCUGGACCCCACCUGACGCGUGAGACGCGAAAGCCAGGGGAGCGAACGGG
rnacentral:rRNA from 1 species